UAACCAUGCAAGUCGAACGUGAAAUCCACCUUCGGGCGGAGAGUAAAGUGGCGCACGGGUGAGUAACGCGUGGGUAAUCUACCCAGAGGUUCGGGAUAACCAACCGAAAGGCUGGCUAAUACCGGAUAACGUCAAUUCACAUAAGUGCUUUGACCAAAGGAGGCGUAAGCUUCCGCCUUUGGAUGAGCCCGCGUACCAUUAGCUAGUUGGCAGGGUAACGGCCUACCAAGGCUACGAUGGUUAGCUGGUCUGAGAGGACGAUCAGCCACACUGGAACUGAGACACGGUCCAGACUCCUACGGGAGGCAGCAGUGGGGAAUAUUGCGCAAUGGGGGAAACCCUGACGCAGCGACGCCGCGUGAGCGAUGAAGGCCUUCGGGUCGUAAAGCUCUGUCAGGUGGGAAGAAACCUCCGCAGGUAAAUAACCGGCGGAACUGACGGUACCACCAGAGGAAGCACCGGCUAACUCCGUGCCAGCAGCCGCGGUAACACGGAGGGUGCAAGCGUUGUUCGGAAU
rnacentral:rRNA from 1 species